GGAUGUGAAGGUAAUCUGGCUGCAACAUAUGUUACCCCAUUGAUCGUCAGGGUUGAUUAGGCUGAUCGUCAGGGUUGAUUAGGGUAGGCGGGUGUCACCUUCCUCCCUCACCACUCCAAGUGCAUCCCUCUCUCCAGAAGCUGCACCCUCAGGAGAAGAGGACAAUCUUCCCCAUAGAGGAGGAUCUAUCUUCCAUCAAGAUAUAGGAGUAGCCACAGUCUUCUGCUAGAACCUCCAAACAAGCUCUCAAGGUCCAUUUGCAAGACAAUGUAGGGUAGUCAAAUUUCUAAGACUCCAGACACAUCCAAAUGAGAUGCUGCAUGUGGUAGUCUAACUUUCCUG
rfam:Canis lupus familiaris chromosome 29, whole genome shotgun sequence.